CGGGAGGGGGCGGGGCGAGCCCAUCUGCUGGGGGCGGAUCCCCGGGCCCCAAGCGCGGGCGCUGCGGGCUGUUUCGGGCGGCGGAGGCCGUCCGCAUCCUGCCGUGGCCUGUUUAUUGAACUGCACCCUACGUAGCACCCUAAGACCAACAUGGCUUAUCUUCCUCGCCCUUCUCCCGUCACUCCAAUUAGGCAUUUCCAUAAAUAAGCAUCGCUAUAUUGAAUGGGGUAAACUUGGGCUGGUGCUCGGCUCCAGAACCUCACUGUCCCACAUCCCACCCAGACAGCCGUUCUGGCACGCCGCGAUGGAGGCAGCGCCCCCCAACCCGCCAUGCGGAGAUUUAAAUUACCACUGAGAAAAGAAAAGGCGGCCGCAAGGAGCAGGGCGACGAACUGUUCGUCCCCAUAACGGAGCACGAGGCAAGACGUCAUCAGUUUAAAGCGCUGUGAGAAAAACCAAGGGCAGUAAAUGCUGGAGGAGAGAUGGAAAAGAGCAGCUGUGUGUGCAGAAAACAUCCCGACUGUCACUAAAGACUUGGAGAAACAGGAGUCUCAGAGACCUUAAUGAAAACUCGUUUCGGGCUGCUUCAUGCAACAGUUACUGGAUGCCAUCUCAGUUGUAUUUUAUUUGGUGAAAACACAUUUGGAAUGUCUGGAAGUUUCUUUGCAAAAGUUAGGAACAGAUACUUUCAGGAAGCCUGUUAAAGUGGCUGUGCCAAAUCAGAUGAAAGACCAUUCCAGCUACACCAUCUUUCACCAUUAGCAAAUACCACAGUAAAACCUCUGUUUAUCUUUCCAAGUGUCCUAUCACUUGCAGUAUGGGUUCUUCUAAGACAUAUCUGUAUUUAAGAGCAGCUUUGUAACACAUUUGUUGAGGUAGCAGGCAGGUUUCCUGUGUAGUGGGUACACCUGGGGUGUUCACAUUGCUUGAAUUUGCAUCCUUCCAAACUCAGCACUGAAAGCUGUUACUGCUGAUCUGAAUGGACACGGUGAAAAAAAAUCACACUUCUUUGCAGACUCUGAGGAUUCCAGUGAUAUUACCAACAGCAGUGAUUUUUAGAAGGAAUGGUUAACACACGAUUCAAAGGAUUUAUCUCGUGAAAUUGGGCAAGCUGCAGCCUUGGGUAACACAAACAAGGACUAUGUGUUUAUGACUGCCAGGCAAGCCUGGAGCCCACUGAAAGCUGAACAUGCAGAGCUGUCUUCAUCUUCCUGAAAUGAAGCUUUCUGCAGAAAGGAGCAUUAGCUCUUAAUAAGCUCCAAAUCUUAUAAAGUCUAAAUUAGAUGCUGUCGCUUACUUGGAGGUGUGCAGUCUAGGAGAACUAUCUACUUCAGAUCCCCCUUAACUGGUUUCUGGUACACAUUUAUCCCUUCUGUGCUCUCAUUUCUGCUGAUUUGUGAAGAUGCCUGAAACUGCAGAAUUCUGCAGUAGGAAUCUGGAUUAAAAGCAGUGCUAUUAAUGGUAAAGUGCAAAUGCAUUUAGUAACAAAGCCUGAUAAAAGUAAAUAGUGAACACAUCAAGUAGUUAAUUUCUAGUUGAGUAACUUGCUUUUAGGGCAUAUUUUAGCAAAAUUCAAAUACAAUUAAAAUGCAGGAGAUAACUUUAGUAAACUGACACAAUUUCACUAUUUCUAAACUUUGAACAUGUUUUGCAUUUAAAACCAAUUAAAACUAUCAAUAUGAAAUUCACCUCAUUCUUAAUUGUGUAAUAAGAUUUCAGAGUUCACUAAGUGGCUUGUUUACAUUUCUUAUUACAAAGUGUCAGUUUCAGGUUCAUUUUUCAGAUACAAGUAUUUGUAUUAAAAACCUACAUACUGGAUUCUAAAAGAAAUCAGUGAGGUUAUGCAGGUUGAUUUGUUAGCUAUGUGAAUGGAAGAAAAUAUACACAAAGUCAUUAAUUAAAACUUGACACUUUUCUUUGUUGUAUCCAUCCCAGAGGGGACAAUUUCCUGCUAUAAUGAUCAGCGACAAUCAGCACAAGCACUAAGGAAAUACCUUAAUUUCCCAGUGGAUGUACAUCUGAAUAAACAUGGCUUUUUCUGUGAUCAACUCUUUGAGGAAACAGAGAAGGAUGCAUCUCCUUUACAAAGGAAAAAGUAUU